rnacentral:rRNA from 1 species
GACGAACGCUGGCGGCGUGCUUAACACAUGCAAGUCGAACGGAAAGGCCCUGCUUUUGUGGGGUGCUCGAGUGGCGAACGGGUGAGUAACACGUGAGUAACCUGCCCUUGACUUUGGGAUAACUUCAGGAAACUGGGGCUAAUACCGGAUAGGAGCUCCUGCUGCAUGGUGGGGGUUGGAAAGUUUCGGCGGUUGGGGAUGGACUCGCGGCUUAUCAGCUUGUUGGUGGGGUAGUGGCUUACCAAGGCUUUGACGGGUAGCCGGCCUGAGAGGGUGACCGGCCAAAUUGGGACUGGGAUCCGGCCCAGCCUCCUACGGGAGGCAGCAGGGGGGAAUAUUGCACAAGGGGGGGAAGCCUGAUGCGGCAACGCCGGGGGCGGGAUGACGGCCUUCGGGUUGUAAACCGCUUUCGCCUGGGACGAAGCGGGAGUGACGGUAAUGGGGAAAGAAGCACCGGCUAACUACGU